rnacentral:tRNA from 1 species
UCUAAUAUGGCAGAUUAGUGCAGUAGAUUUAAGCUCUACAUAUAAAGAUUUAACCUUUAUAGAAA